AGCUAGUUGGUGAGGUAAUGGCUCACCAAAGCUAUGACAUCUAACUGGUUUGAGAGGAUGAUCAGUCACACUGGAACUGAGACACGGUCCAGACUCCUACGGGAGGCAGCAGUGGGGAAUAUUGCACAAUGGAGGAAACUCUGAUGCAGCAACGCCGCGUGGAGGAUGACACAUUUCGGUGCGUAAACUCCUUUUAUUUGGGAAGAUAAUGACGGUACCUAAUGAAUAAGCACCGGCUAACUCCGUGCCAGCAGCCGCGGUAAUACGGGGGGUGCAAGCGUUACUCGGAAUCACUGGGCGUAAAGAGCAUGUAGGCUGGUUUGUAAGUUGGAAGUGAAAUCCUAUGGCUUAACCAUAGAACUGCAUUUGAAACUGGGAGCCUAGAGUAUGGAAGGGGCAGAUGGAAUUAGUGGUGUAGGGGUAAAAUCCGUAGAUAUCACUAGGAAUACCGAAAGCGAAAGCGAUCUGCUGGGACAUUACUGACGCUGAGGGCGUGAAAGCGUGGGGAGCAAACGGGAUUAGAUACNCCCGGUAGUCCACGCCCGNAACGAUGAAUGCUAGUCGUCGCAAUGCUUGACAUUGCGGUGAUGCAGUUAACACAUUAAGCAUUCCGCCUGGGGAGUACGGUCGCAAGAUUAAAACUCAAAGGAAUAGACGGGGACCCGCACAAGUGGUGGAGCAUGUGGUUUAAUUCGAAGAUACACGAAGAACCUUACCUAGCCUUGACAUUGAAAGAACACUUUAGAGAUAGAGUGGUGCCCUUCGGGGAGCUUGAAAACAGGUGCUGCACGGCUGUCGUCAGCUCGUGUCGUGAGAUGUUGGGUUAAGUCCCGCAACGAGCGCAACCCUCGUCCUUAGUUGCUAGCAGUUAGGCUGAGCACUCUAAGGAGACUGCCUUCGCAAGGAGGAGGAAGGUGAGGACGACGUCAAGUCAUCAUGGCCCUUACGGCUAGGGCUACACACGUGCUACAAUGGGGCGUACAGAGAGUCGCGAUACCGCGAGGUGGAGCUAAUCUCUUAAAGCGUCUCUCAGUUCGGAUUGUUCUCUGCAACUCGAGAACAUGAAGCUGGAAUCACUAGUAAUCGCAGAUCAGCUAUGCUGCGGUGAAUACGUUCCCGGGUCUUGUACUCACCGCCCGUCA
rnacentral:rRNA from 1 species